CCUAGGGAUGCAGCAGUGGGGAAUAUUGCACAAUGGAGGGAACUCUGAUGCAGCAACGCCGCGUGGAGGAUGACACAUUUCGGUGCGUAAACUCCUUUUAUAUAAGAAGAUAAUGACGGUAUUAUAUGAAUAAGCACCGGCUAACUCCGUGCCAGCAGCCGCGGUAAUACGGGGGGUGCAAGCGUUACUCGGAAUCACUGGGCGUAAAGAGCAUGUAGGCUGGUUUGUAAGUUGGAAGUGAAAUCCUAUGGCUUAACCAUAGAACUGCUUCCAAAACUACUUACCUAGAGUAUGGGAGAGGUAGAUGGAAUUUCUGGUGUAGGGGUAAAAUCCGUAGAGAUCAGAAGGAAUACCGAUUGCGAAGGCGAUCUACUGGAACAUUACUGACGCUCAGAUGCGAAAGCGUGGGGAGCAAACAGGAUUAGAUACCCCCGUAGUC
rnacentral:rRNA from 1 species